UACAGAGGGGGCAAGCGUUGUUCGGAAUUACUGGGCGUAAAGGGCGCGUAGGCGGCCUGUUAAGUCGAACGUGAAAUCCCCAGGCUUAACUUGGGAACUGCGUCCGAUACUGGAUGGCUUGAGUGCGGGAGAGGGAUGUGGAAUUCCAGGUGUAGCGGUGAAAUGCGUAGAUAUCUGGAGGAACACCGGUGGCGAAGGCGGCAUCCUGGACCGACACUGACGCUGAGGCGCGAAAGCCAGGGGAGCAAACGGG
rnacentral:rRNA from 1 species